UCAUUAGCGACUGGCAACAGUACGCAUGCUAACGUUAGCUAACUUGCUGUUAUUGAUAUUAUGAAUUUGUUUGGCACAUGUUGCUAUAGCUAGCUAGCUUACUGCCAGCAUUGCUGGUGUAGCACAUCAUGGCAACGCUGGUGUAGGUUAAUGGUUGCAGUUGGGUUGUUUUUUGUUGGUUUUUGUGUACAUGGCUACUUAAUUCAGUUGUGCUUCUUGUUGAGUGUUUAGUGGCCACUUUCACUGGGCGUCCCGACAGAGAACUUGAAGGGAGGGUGAGAUGCGACCUACAAAGCAUUUGUUUUGGUCUGAGAUAUUGCUGCACAUCUAGUGGCAGUGAGAUCUACAGAACCUUAAAAACUUCUUCUUCUUUUUUCAAGUUUAUCAAUACCUUAUUAAUAAUAUAUUUUGUUUGGCUGAAGAGUUAAGAUUGCGUUUUAGGUAUACUUCAUAGACUGUACGUAAAAAGGUAUAAUUGUAAAAAGACACUAUGACAGCACUAACCAAACAAAACUUUGUGAUCAUGCAAUAAAUAAAAGACAAGUUAAAACAAAUGUAGAUAUUUUUAUGCACUUAGAUGUGCUAGCAAUGUGCUGAAAUAUUUUUGAUAAAAUGCUUCAAGCUCCUGAAACCCUUCCAAGACUGAAAUUAAUCAGGGUGCAAAAUGAUUGCCUCUAAUUUAAAACUGUUGUGUCUCUCAUGAAGAGUUCUUCAAACAUUUCUUCUUUACUUUACUUUUCAUUACCAUGUAGCAAUUCUGAAUUUGUCCUGGACCUUUGCUGGUGGUAUAAAGGUAGUUCAAUAAAUUAAUAUCACACAGCUACAUAUCCAGGCAGCGUCCAAGUAAAUAUUCUUAAGAGGAUUUGUUAGAUAAUGGACCAGAACAGUAUCCAUGACAGGAAUGUAUAACUCCUGGUUAUUUCCCUAUCCUGACAUAACUUAUUCAGCAUCUGCAUCCAUCCACAUAAAUAAUACAUUUACUCAAGUACUGUUCUUCAUUUUGAGGUAUUUGUAUUUUACUUUCAUUUUAUGCGACUAUAUACUUCAAUCUAAGACAUUUCAGACAGAAAUAUCUUUUUACACCUACAUUUAUCUGAAAGAUAUAUUUAUUUGUUACAUGUCAGAUUAAAAUUUUACAUGAAGAAACAAAUGAAAUAAGGUCAUAAAAUACAACAUUAAGAUUAAACUGGUAGCUCACUGGUGGCUUGUGACCCUUUUACUUUUUAUACUUUGUAUACUAACUUUUUUUGUUAUUGCUUUCUACUCAUAUUUAUUAUAUAUAUUAUAUGUAUUUGAAAUAACAGACUUUUACUUGUAACAGAGUAUUUUACAUUUAAAAUACUCUUUUGUAGUAUUGCUAUACUUUUACUUAAAGGAUCUGAAUACUUUUUCCAACACUGGUAGUUAAUAAGAAUACCAGUAUAUUUAGCAAGGCGGUAUUGAUUUCCUGUCUGAUGGUUUUCUGAAAGUGUAGAAAAUCCUGUAUCAUUAUUACAUGGCAAAUGUUUUUAAAUAUUACUUUGAUGAAACAGUAUAACUUUAUCUGGAGUAUUUUCUAAAUAAUGGUGGAAUAACUAGUAAAAGGGAAGCCAAAACUCUGCUCACAAGAUCCAAGAGUGAUGACAAUACGAAUGUGUUCUGUGGAUGUAAAAAAUAGAGCAUUUGUGUUUUUAAUUACAAAUCUUUGUCACUACAACACAAGUAUUUAUAUUGUAACCAAAUAUGUAGAAUAAUACGUUUUGCUUUUGUGGCAAAGCUGGAAUUGUGAUAAUAAUGAACCAAAAACACACUGAAAAUGUGCAACAAGUUACAUGUUUCAGUGCCCUGUCAAAUCUAUUGUAUGUAAACCACUGUCUUACUAAACAAAUAAUUUUACAUAGUUUCUCUAUGUAUAAUCUAAGACAGGACCUACUUUCAGGCUUGAUGUGAAAAAUCUUGAGGUUUCAGAAGCGAUACACCGCCUGUAAACUUGAGAUGUUUCAUCUUGGCCUUUUCUUUACUUCACAUACAAUCAAAUACAAAACACAGUCACUUAUUAUGCCACAACCACUGACUUAAAGGAAAUUAAAGGCAGGUUUAUAGCAGACAGAGUAAAUCAUUACAACAUAACAGCAUCAUCUCAUCUCUCCUGCAUGAAGCUAUACUGUAAGAAAUAUUAUUAUUAUUGUCCCUGAUCUCUGCUGUCUCAAUUAUUAUAUUAUAUUAUGCCCAUUAUUUUAUAGGUUGUGGUUGGAAAUUGAAAGCUCUACCCCAUCAUACUUAGUUGUGUCUUGUCACCGGAAGCAUAUUGCUCCUUUUCUAGUAAGACACCGUGGGGACAUGGUGAAAUGCGUUUUCGCACCCUUGCACCAAAACCCACAAGGGUUUCAUAAACCCCUCAUAUCGUCGUGUGCCCUGUUUUGUUUUUCACAGCAAGUCAGCACAUGUAUAUUUAUCUCAAUGAGGAAUUAGCUGUCUGACAUCAAUCUGCAGAAGUGUACAGGAUGUAGGCUAUGCAUAGCAGUGGGGUAGCAAUCGCAGGCCGUUUUGAUGUCUUUCUGUUAUGGAACAGCAGCGCUUUAAUGUUUGAUCUCCCUUGUCUUUUUCCAAGCCUACAUUAUUUUCAUCUUUGGUUUCUGAAUAUACAACUUGCACUACAGUCAGCACCUUCUGUGAAAGCAACUCAUUUUCAUGGUACAUUGAUAGAAAACCCCUCCUCCCACCCACACACACACACACACACACACACAACACACACACACACACACAGGUUUCAUGUCUACAGCUCUGUCAGAUGUGCAGAAGGCAGGCAGCAGAGACAGGAUGAGUUAAAAGAAGACCACCUCGCAUAUGACACAAUGGAAAUGAGGCUGAAGCAGUUGGCUCUGGUGCUGUUCACAGUGGCAGCAGCAGCUCUGGGGGGAUCAGAUCAACAAUGUGUGAUUGUGGGUACAACGCAAGUAAAAGUUGAUUUGGGUUCCUCUCUGACUUUGUGCUGUCUUUUGUUUAAAGACACAUAUAUAAGAUUUCGGGUGAGCUGGUAUUUUAACCAAGCUGAACCUUCACUGAACAACUCACAGAACAUCUCUGAGACGAUUGCUGGUGAAAAUAUCUCCACCCAAGGAGAAACACACUUGACGUUGCAAAAUGUUAUGCACAAUAAUAGCGGAUGGUACUUUUGCAAAGUCACAUCAGAGAUUCCCUGUCAUACUAUUACUUACAGCAAUGGAACAGAAGUAGUUAUUGAGCUUGGAAAAAACAACGUACCCGUCACUAUUAACGAGUAAACAAGUGACGCAUCAAGAACAAUCCCUACUCCCUUUUGCUUGGUGGGUAUGGAUCGUGUUGGGGGUCUCAGCUUUCAUCCUGAUGGUCCUGCUGAUCACAUAUACCUUGCUGAGAAAAAGAUGCAACAGAAGCGGAGAGGAUCCUGUCUAUAUAAACAUGCGUUGUUCUGGGGCAAACAAACAACCAUCACCUCGGCCCGGGGCGCAAAACAACCACCUGAAGACAUCCCCUUCCUCUGCAGACCUCCAGACCCCGGAUAGAUACGGCGAAGGCAAACGGAGGCAAAAACCGUGAGGAAGUCACGGAGCUUGUUUAUUUAGACACGAUUUAGACUUUUCUCCCAAACUGGACAUUUGUAUCUUAUUUUAUGUAUUUCUUAUCCUGUAAAAUAUAUCUUUCAUUAGCCGCCAGUAGAUGGCAGAAGGUGCACAAGUAAAUUUUUAAAAGUUUUUUUUUUUUCUUGUCUUUUUUUUCUUUUCUUUCUUGUUUCGAAAUCUUAUAUUAUUUGAAUAUUUGAAAAAGUUUCCAGCAGUAGUUUAAUAUGUUAGAUAAUAAAGUGGCAAAUUGUUCUUUUUAGUGUGAAAUAGUGAUGAGACUAAAAUUUUAAUGUUUUGAACUGAAUGUUUUAAAUUAACUGUAUGUUUAUAUUAAAAUUUAAAAUGCUGAAAAAGCAGUUUUUGUUGUACAGUUUGUAAUAUUUACAUUUUAAAUAUGUGAUGGUAGCAUCCACUAAUGGAUCUGAUACAAUUUAAUUUUACAUUUUAAACGUGCGAUUAA